rnacentral:lncRNA from 1 species
UCCAAGGACGGGGAGGACACCUGGGGGUCCCCAGGUGUGCCCAGGUGUGCCCGGAGUCUCUCAGCGCAGUCACACCACAAUAAAUCCCAAUAAAGUCCCAAUAAAUUCCCAUUUUUCUGUGCUGAGGCUCUUCCGGGCGUGUCCCACGCCGUGCCCAGGUGUGCCCAGGUGUGCCCGGAGUCUCUCAGUGCUGUCCCACCACAAUAAAUCCCAAUAAAUUCCCAUUUUUCCGUGCUGAGGCUCUUCCGGGCGUGUCCCACGUUGUCCUGGCGAUCUCCCCAGGUGCUCCCAGGUGUGCCCAGGUGUUUCCAGGUGCUCCCAGGUGUGCCCAGGUGCACCCAGAGUCUCUCAGCACCAUCACCAAGGUGUCACACCCCAAUAAAUCCCAAUAAAUCCCAAUAAAUCCCAAUAAAAUCCCAAUAAAUCCCAUUUUUCUGUGCUGAGGCUCUUCUGGGUGUGUCCCACGUUGUCCUGGCGAUCUCCCCAGGUGCUCCCAGGUGUUUCCAGGUGCUCCCAGGUGUGCCCAGAGUCUCUCAGCGCUGUCCCACCCCAAUAAAGCCCAAUAAAAUCCCAAUAAAUUCCCAUUUUUCCAUGCCGAGGCUCUUCCGGGCGUGUCCCACGUUGUCCUGGCGAUCUCCCCAGGUGCUCCCAGGUGUUUCCAGGUGCUCCCAGGUGUGCCCAGAGUCUCUCAGCACCAUCACCAAGGUGUCACAC